rnacentral:rRNA from 1 species
CAGCAGCCGCGGGAAUACGAAGGGUGCAAGCGUUAAUCGGAAUUACUGGGCGUAAAGCGUGCGCAGGCGGUUCGCUAAGACAGAUGUGAAAUCCCCGGGCUUAACCUGGGAACUGCAUUUGUGACUGGCGGGCUAGAGUAUGACAGAGGGGGGUAGAAUUCCACGUGUAGCAGUGAAAUGCGUAGAGAUGUGGAGGAAUACCGAUGGCGAAGGCAGCCCCCUGGGCCAAUACUGACGCUCAUGCACGAAAGCGUGGGGAGCAAACAGGAUUAGAUACCCGUGUAGUCCCUGUCUCUUAUAC